GACCCCAGGUCAGGCGGGGCCACCCGCUGAGUUUAGCAUAUCAUAAGGAGGAUGUAUCAGAACCGAGCGGAUGACUGUUGACCUCGUAACCCGCCCGAAGGAGCUGAGGGAGGGGCGACUACGCGCUGCCCACUCUUUGGACUCUAUGGGACCGUCUGGUCG
rnacentral:rRNA from 1 species